AUUAAAACCAAAGAAUUAAAUUGAGAUAAAUUAAUAAAAAGAAAUGGGAAAACCUCAAACUUGGCUGCAGAAUUACUGUCUUUGUCAACUUCCAAGUGGUGUCCAGAGCAGACAGCCCAUGGCGGCGCCGACUAAGUUCUCUGCCGUCAAACACUCAAUUUCUUUUCCAAUUGGUCAUUACCCCCAUGUCUACCGUUCUUCAUUAAGGAUUGGCUCAUCUUCUUUGCAUUAAAUUUCCCAUGUGGGGCUACUUUUCAGCGCAAUGUUCGGGAUGUGCAUAAAGUUCUAGCUCUAAUGUUAGCCGAACAGGAUGGUAUUCUUAGUCGUUCGAAGAUUUUUAAGUAAGAUAAAUGGUAAAAUUACGAAAUCAUGUGUGUAUAGUAAUGUAAGUUGCGGAAAUGUUUAA